rnacentral:lncRNA from 1 species
CGCUGAGCCUCAGGAGGAUAUUCCAAGAUUGCAAACUUACCUAACAUUUCCUUCACAGAAUCAAAGCAUGCAAAUGGGCUCUGGGUGCUGUUGCCAUUUACUGUGGGGACCAAUUUUUUUUUCUAUUUUUUUUUUCUAUCAGGCAGCACCUGCCUCUCUAUUCAGAGAUGCCUGCGUGCAAGGCUGAAUGCAAACAACAAAGGCUUCGACUGUGGCAGAGGCUGCGUGAUUUUCUUGGACCUUGCCAUUAUGUUUCAGGUCAGAGAUUGAGGUCCACAGCACAGGGACCUUUUAAUAUCAGGUGCAUCAUCCCAUGGCCACCGCUGAGGACUCAGCCACUCCUUCCUCCACAUCCUGCUUCCCCUCACCUAUGAGCUCCUGGGGUCAUCUUGGUCUUCAUUCCAAAACAGCACAGAAGUAGAGCUCAGCACAGCAGAGCACACCUUUAUUCCAGCACCCAGGAGCCUGGGGCAGGAAGGUCACCAGCCUGGGCUACACAUUACUGAGUCUCAUAAUAACUAUGUGAGAAGAAGCAGUUACAAGAGCAGAAAUAGCAGCAUGAAGAAGGAACAGAAAGGAUGAAAAAGGAAGGAAGGGAAGGGAAGAGUGGAAAGCUGGCUGCCUGACUUACUGCAAUCACAAGAUCUGAUCAAAAACUACUAUGAAUGAUUGCAUCUUUUAAAAUUUAAAAAUUAUUCCAGGAAAGGACACUUUGCCAUGAAUCCCCUUUAAAGUCCUCCC